rnacentral:rRNA from 1 species
AUUGAACGCUGGCGGCAUGCCUUACACAUGCAAGUCGAACGAGACCUUCGGGUCUAGUGGCGCACGGGUGCGUAACGCGUGGGAACCUGCCUUUAGGUUCGGAAUAACUCAGAGAAAUUUGAGCUAAUACCGGAUAAUGUCUUCGGACCAAAGAUUUAUCGCCUUUAGAUGGGCCCGCGUUGGAUUAGCUAGUUGGUGGGUAAAGGCCUACCAAGGCGACGAUCCAUAGCUGGUCUGAGAGGAUGAUCAGCCACACUGGGACUGAGACACGGCCCAGACUCCUACGGAGGCAGCAGUGGGGAAUAUUGGACAAUGGGCGAAAGCCUGAUCCAGCAAUGCCGCGUGAGUGAUGAAGGCCUUAGGGUUGUAAAGCUCUUUACCCGAGAUGAUAAUGACAGUAUCGGGAGAAUAAGCUCCGGCUAACUCCGUGCCAGCAGCCGCGGUAAUGUGACUACUG